ACGACGCGUGGCGGCGUGCUUAAUACAUGCAAGUCGAACGGAGCCUAGCCGGUAGUUUACUACAGGCGAAAGCUUAGUGGCGGACGGGUGAGUAACGCGUGGGCAAUCUGCCCCUAAGUCCGGGAUAACAGAGCGAAAGUUCUGCUAAGACCGGAUACUCUUCCUUGGUCGCAUGGCGGAGGAAGGAAAGGAUACGCUUAGGGAUGAGCCCGCGUCCCAUUAGCUAGUUGGUGAGGUAACGGCCCACCAAGGCGACGAUGGGUAGCCGGCCUGAGAGGGUGGACGGCCACACUGGGACUGAGACACGGCCCAGACUCCUACGGGAGGCAGCAGUAGGGAAUUUUCCGCAAUGGGGGAAACCCUGACGGAGCAACGCCGCGUGAGGGAAGAAGGCCUUCGGGUCGUAAACCUUUGUCAUCGAGGACGAUAAUGACGGUACUCGAGGAGGAAGCCCCGGCUAACUACGUG
rnacentral:rRNA from 1 species